UAGUAGGAAAAAAAGAGAGAAAAAGAAGGUAAUGACUAUUUUUUUAGUAUUUGGUCCAUGACUAGCUUUUAAGAGCCCAUCUAAUCUACCUUAUUCAAACCGAACACAAACCGAAAUAUCUCGAAAUAUCUCUCUCAUCAGUCAUCGCUCAUUUCCUUCGAAAAACAACCGAUGAUGUCUGAGCUGAGGAGAAAGCUAGAUUUGUCGUACGAGAGUCUCCCCGACGACGUGGUAUUCGACAUCCUGACUCGGCUGCCGGUGAAAUCCUUAAUCCGAUUCAGGUGCGUUUCCAAAUCAUGGUACGCUACGAUUACCAGCCGCAUAUUUAUCACCAGGCACCUCAACUUCAAUCUCAACCUCAAAUUAUCAUCCAAAAACAACCACAAUGGUUAUCUUCUAUGUAAGUCUGACAAUGAAUUGUGUACCUUGGUUUACAAUAGCGACCGCACACUGACUGAGGUUUCUAGGUUUCAAAUCCCCUUGUGGGGUGCCAACAUGGUUGACUAUUGUAAUGGGAUUUUCUUCCUUUAUAGCUAUGUUAAUCCUACAAUUUAUUUGUGGAACCCAAGCAUUCAAAUGUUUAAAACCAUCGAUGCUACGCGAUUCAGACCAUUCACUAUGGACUAUUUUGAUAGCGUUGUCUUUGGAUUUGCCUAUCUUGCUGAAAUCAGCGAUUUCAAGAUUCUCAGAAUUGUGUCUUAUAAAGGGUUUGAUGAAGAAAAAGCACCCCCGGCUGAGGCCGAGGUUUACACAUUGAGUACUGAUUCGUGGAGAACAGUUGAAAUAUUGGUGGAGUCUGUGCCCAAUAUUAGAUAUAUUCUUGCUGUACAACCUAACUCCUGUUUGUUUUUCAAUGGAGCUCUGCAUUUUAUAGCGUGUACUUUGGGCAACGACGAUAAUAGUUUCAUUCUGUCCUUUGAUGUCAAUGAUGAGAUUUUUCGAGACAUAAAACUGCCCGAGGAUUACUUAGAUGGAUUAGGUCCAAAUUCUGACCACCACGUUCACCAACUUGUGGUGUUCAAGGGAUCGUUGGCUUUGAUUGUUAUUGGUCCAGACGAUGAUGUAGAUGAAGAUGAAGAUGAUGAAGAAGAAGAAGAUGAUGAUGAUGAACCAGAUACUUCGAAUAUAUGCCUCAUAUGGGUGAUGAGAGAGUAUGGUGUGGUUGAGUCUUGGACAAAAACAAAUGUACUGUUUGAUUGGAUUAUUAAGCUCUUUGGCUGCACUAACAGUGGUGAAUUUCUAGUCCAAAUGUUUGACAGAAGGCUCGUUUCAUUAGACACUGAGAAUCUGAAAGUGAACCAUCUUGGAAUUCAAAUUCCUUUCUGGUUGUAUUACACAGCUGAUCUUAUGGAGAGCUUGGUUUUACUUGAUCAGGAGUAAGGAUUGCCAUGCACAUUAUUGGCAUGACAAUGUCAUUGUCAAGUGCUUAUUGCUGAUCAAUCAUAACCGUAUUUCAUGAUCAUCCUAGUGACAAACAAGUAAAUCAACAAGAUGUCUCCAAAAUUUGAUUGAUUAGCAAACUGUUGAAUGUAUCCAAUCAGCCUUGGUGGUAUCCUAAUUUUGACCCGGAGCAGGGGGAAAAAAUGAAAAGAGAAAAUUGCACUUACUUGUGCAGUCCAACCUUAUUUGCUAAAACAUAAGCAGUUCUCAAUUUGCUGAUAUGGAACCUGAAAGAAAUCCUGGAGCAGCUACUGGCACACCAAAUUGCUAUAGCAUCUGGUUUUUCCCAAAGUGCCAGCUUCUUCCACUAGGUACCCAUCUUCUCAUCUCUCCCUAUAUAAGUGAUCCCUCCACUGCUCCAAAACAACUUGCUUCAUCAAGCACGUAUCCUUCUUAGACCAGUUUUAUUUGCUACACAAAGUUCACAAAUCUGUGCUUCCAAUUUCAAGAGCAAAGAACAGUCUUGUGAAGGGUAGAAGACGAGUUCAACAAGAAGAGCUAUUGCAGCAGACAGUUGCAGUUGUGGAAGCCACGAAGGACCAGGGGAUCUGUGCGUGGAAUUUUAUCAUGAGAUUAGCACAGCAACAUUCUUAGAGCCAUUGGAAGCCAUUUCAACUUCUACAACGGUUUCAACCAAAUUGAGAGAUGAUAAAAUGAAGCAGUUGGAGUAAAUGAGAAAAGUCAUGUACUUGAGUUGUUGGGGUCCUAAUUGAAGACAUUAGUCAGCUGAAUAAGGUGACCAUACAAGUGAGCCUGUGAAUUCUGAUGGAACUUCGUUUAGUGCAGGAAGACUUCAAAAUUAAAACGUACGGGAGAUUUUGUACAUGGUUUAUUGGUAGGAACUGUCAGGCUGAGCUAAGCAGGCAUAGAUAUAUGUUUGCUGGGCAUACUUAGAACCAUCAGAAGCUGUUUUCAACUUCUACAAUGGUUUCAACCAAAUUGAGAGAUGAUAAAAUGAAGCAGUUGGAGUAAAUGAGGAAAGUCAUGUAGUACUGGAGUUGUUGGGGGUCCUAAUUGAAGACAGUAGUCAGCUGAAUAAGGUGACCAUACAAGUGAGCCUGUGAAUUCUGAUGGAACUUCGUUUAGUGCAGGAAGACUUCAAAAUUAACACGUACAGGAGAUUUUGUACAUGGUUUAUUAGUAGGAACUGUCAGGCUGAGCUAAGCAGGCAUAGAUAUAUGUUUGCUAAGCAUAUGUGCUUGUAAGAGCUAGAUCAGCUUAAGGUCUUUUGCCAUUAGCAAUUUAGCACUAGAAAAGAAGGCAUGAAUAUUUGCUAUUUGUACAAGAUGCCUAUGAAAGAGAAGUUACUAUGAACGAAAAGCAAAGAAUAAAAAGAAGAUUGCAACAUGCAUUGAGAGUGAGCUGAAUUUAGUUUUUCUACAGCCAUGGUGUUUGACCGGAUUUGGAGAGUAAGGAAUUAAGUGUGUUUGAGAGAAAAAAGAUAAUAUAGACCAAGUCAUGACAGGUCUAAGCAGCACUUUCUUGAAAGACCUGCAGUUGCUGGACCCCAGAGAAGCGAGCAAAAGUUCCUGUUAAAGGGUACCAUGAUGCAGCAGUUUGCUCAAACCCCUCAAUCUUGGCUAUGGUCGCAACUCACCAGGACUCAUAGAGGUUAGGUGUUAAGUGCGGAGGUAACUAUUUCAUACUUAGUAGACACGGAGGUGGUAGAAAGUGAGGCUAUGUGGAGGGCAAUUGGCCUAGUAACAGCCAACAAGCAUGGAAUUGCCCAAUAUAAUCCCUGAAGGCGAUUCGAAACUCUGCCUAGAUGUGAUUGUGUCCAAAGGAAAAGAGGCAAGUUGGAAGAUCGUGCGAUUCAAUCCAAGACAUUCAGUUGUUGGCAAUGUCUUUUGAAAGGUGCUUGUUCAACUGGAUUCCAAGAGAAGCAAAUGUAGCAGCUAAUGAACUAGGAGCCCGUGCUUAUUCCUUUUCUCAGCUUCUUUUUUCCGGGUUAUUGUUUCUGAAGCCCAGAAUAGUUUUGUUUUGUAAAUCUCGUAUUUUGUCUUCAAUGAAAUUGAUCUUUGUACAGAAAACAAUAAUAAUAAUAAUAAAAUGCAUAGAGAGACUCAUAUCA